UAUCGUUUAUUGGAACCUAUAAUCCUACUUGGAUAACUGUGGCAAUUCUAGAGCUAAUACACGCAGCAAAGUGGGGACCUUGCGGAACCCAUGCAUUUAUUAGAACAAAACCAAUCGGUCCUAUUGGGUCCGUUGUUUGGUGAAUCUGGAUAACUCUGCCAAUCGCAUGGUCUAAGAACCGGCGAUAUAUCUUUCAAAUGUCUGCCUUAUCAACUUUCGAUGGUAGUUUAUGCGCCUACCAUGGUUGUAACGGGUAACGGAGAAUCAGGGUUCGACUCCGGAGAGGGAGCCUGAGAAACGGCUACCACA
rnacentral:rRNA from 1 species